CCGAAUUUAAAACUCACAACGCGAGUCUCGUGCGGAAGCAAAUAUGACUGCCGAGACUUUGUGACUCUUCAAGUCUUCCUUUGCUCAAGUCAAACCACACUCGUGAAGCACAUGUGACGAGUCUGUGGUGAGCAUCGGGAGCACUGCGUUUCCUUCGGGAUUCACAGUCUAAAAAACGAAUUGUAAAAGUAUAUAUAUAAACAAAAUAAGACGAAAAAAUC
rnacentral:misc_RNA from 1 species